UGUAGCCUCUGAUUUGGGCCCAAAAAGGAAAAGAAAUUCAGAGGAGACAGUGACUCUCAGACUCUUGUUAAUGAGCAAGAGUUCCCUGGAUCCAAGAGGCCUUUGCCUUCUGGCUUACAGCCUCACAUUUGCAGGAUGGCUGCUGCACAUCUAACCUUUACAUCCACAUUCCAGGCAGGAAUAAUGGGAAAGAACAAGGGAAACUAUGUAGCUGAAAAAGAAUGCAUUGGCUUUUCUGGGGGGAGAAAUACCUGAUUUCUGAACACAGUCUAUAUCCUGAACAGUUUCCUAGAGAUGAUGUACUGAUUAAUUUUUAUAAAGCACUCCAAGCGUCACACAGUAAGUUUUGGUAUUUUCAAGUGCCCAAAGAGGUAAGAAAUUUAAAUGAGCUUAAGAUUUUUACCUGUAUCUAACCUGGAGGCCCACCUAGGAAAACUGUAAAUUUGGGAUUCUGGGUAAAAAGUGGUUUUGAGGCUGAGCUCCUGAAGUCAGACAACAUAGACUGGGAUCCCAGGUUCAUCAUUUGUCAGUUGUGUGAUUUGGAAGCAGGUCAUUUCACGCCUUUGCCUUCAUUUCCUCGUCCGUAAAGUGGGGAUAACCACUUCAUAGGAUGGUUUAGAGGAUUAAAUGGGAUGAUCUGUAUAAAGCUCACCAUAGGACAUGGCACAUCACAAACACUCUAGACACACAUGGGUGGAUAAACAACAUUUUUUUCCUAAUUAGUUCCAUACUUUUUAGUUUUUACAUUAGUACCAUGAGUUCACCUAGAGAUAAGAAGCCUUGUUUAUUGUCAGCUCAUUGUGAAAAAUAGCAUUAAUUCCUAUUAAGGUGUUUACCAUCUUUUGUGAGGGAUUGAAAUUACCUAAUAUUUAAAAGUGAUCAGACUUCUGGGUUUGAAUCCCCACUCAGUAGCUCCAAGACUUUUGAAAAGUUGCUUCACCUCUUUGGGCCUCAAUGGCCUUAGUUAUAAAAUGGGGAUUCUGUGUAGUUUAAUUGAGUUAAUAGAUAUGAAGUGCUCAAGGCUGCCAUUGUUAUUGACUCUGCUAUUAACCAAAUAUUUUCCAGAAAAGAACAUGAGUUGAGAGAUGAUAUCCCAAAGUGGUUUUCUUCAUUGUUUAAACAUGUAUUUGUUUAUUUAGUUGGUUGUGUUGUAUCUUA